GCUGGGCGUGGUGGCACACACCUGUAAUCCUAGCAACUUGGGAGUCUGAGGCAGGAGGACCAUGAGUUCAAAGCCAUCCUCAGCAGAUUAGUGAGGCACUUAGCAACUCCGCAAGACCCUGUCUCUA
rnacentral:sRNA from 1 species